rnacentral:rRNA from 1 species
CCUACGGGGUGCAGCAGUGAGGAAUAUUGGUCAAUGGGCGGGAGCCUGAACCAGCCAAGCCGCGUGAAGGAAGACGGUUUUCGGAUUGGAAACUUCUGUUUGUAGUGAAGAAUAAUGACGGUAGCUAAGGAGCAAGCCACGGCUAACUACGUGCCAGCAGCCGCGGUAAUACGUAGGUGGCAAGCGUUGUCCGGAAUUACUGGGUGUAAAGGGAGCGCAGGCGGGAAGCCAAGUCAGCUGUGAAAACUACGGGCUUAACUUGUAGACUGCAGUUGAAACUGGUUUUCUUGAGUGAAGUAGAGGUUGGCGGAAUUCCGAGUGUAGCGGUGAAAUGCGUAGAUAUUCCGAGGAACACCGGUGGCGAAGGCGGCCAACUGGGCUUUAACUGACGCUGAGGCUCGAAAGUGUGGGUAGCAAACAGGAUUAGAUACCCCUGUAGUC